rnacentral:tRNA from 1 species
UAGCGCGCUUCCCUGACACGGAAGAGGUCACUGGUUCGAUCCCAGUAUCGCCCACCA